rfam:Sphingobacteriales bacterium 50-39 SCNpilot_cont_1000_p_scaffold_65, whole genome shotgun sequence.
AGUAGCUCAAUGGCAGAGCGCCGGCCUGUUAAGUCGGUGGUUGAAGGUUCGAGUCUUUCUU